rnacentral:lncRNA from 1 species
CAAAGUAUUGGCAAAUCGAGCCCCACGUUUUUUUUUUAUAAUUAAAUAUUUUAUGUGGAGUGCAUACUUUUGUAAUUUUCUACUUUAACCAUUGUAGUACAGUUUUGCAUAUUUUGUUUACUACAUUAUUGAAGAUGCUCUAGUCUAAAACAUCUCCAAUGGUGUGGGCAAACAAAGUAUUAAAAAUUAAAAUAUAUUGGCUUAUAAGGCAUGUUGUCUAUUGUGGUAGCAUAAAUUCGUCGUCUUCAGUAUAGAUGAAAUUGUUCCUACAAAAGAAUUAUGCACCUCUGUUCAAAGACCAAAGUCACAUGCACAUGGAGUGGGCAGAAAGAUUUGACCAAUGGAUAUCCAAUACCUAAGUCAGUUUUAAAAAAAAGAUAGAGUUAAAUGCUUAAUUGCGUAACAAAAGUUUACAAUUAUUUGGUGUACAAUGAAGUAUUUAUAGAGUAUAGGGUCAGCCACAUGUGUAAAAUUUCCCAAGUCAUGUGUGGUCAUCUAGUUGGCCAAGGUGUGUCAUUUGUUGAAUGGAGAAAAGUAUUAUCCCGAAGAUAUUAUUUAUGAAAUAAUAUUUAGGGAAUAUCUCGUGAUAUCCUUCAUUGGAUUUGAUUGUAAUUCAUUUCUUGAUUUGAUUUUGUCUUCAAUAAGGAAAGCUUUAAAGAUAGAGUUUGGUUAUUAAUUCUAUCUUUAAUAUCUUUGACUUUUCUUCUUGCCAUGAUCAACAGAGUUUAGAGCAAUAAUAGUCAUUAGAUUAUGUCUUCAAGAGGUUGAACUGCGCGUGGGAUAAAUGUAGGCCUUGCUAAUCUAGUAAGGGCAUUUUUGUCUCUUGCGGGUAAAAGCCUACAUAGCAGCUCAAGGAAUUUCAAGAUUAUUUUUAGCUCCACACUACUCAUUUCCCUAUGAAUUAGGCAAUCCAAGUAGGUAAAACCGUAUUAUAUUAAAAAAAAGUUCACCUUUUUGUUUGUUGUUCACCAAAAAAACUAAAUGAUACAACCUAAUUGAAGGACCACAUAUAAUUAUAAUAAAAUGGAAUGCGGGGCCCAAUCUGCCUACUCAUGUUGCAGCAGGCGUGCAAUAUUGCUUACUUUGGAAGAGUGUAGGCAAAUUUUGCCUACAUUAUUGGAGCAACAUUUUGCUUCCGAGGCGCAUCAAA